rnacentral:lncRNA from 1 species
UGGUUUACAUAUAUAAUUUCACGAAGUUCUCCUGAUGAUUCUAAGGGAGGAUUACUCCAUUUUACAAAGGAGGAAACUGAGAUUCAGAGUGGCUGGUGUCGGGGAAGUGGGAGAAUUCCCCCCACGGCUUUUCCUCAAGGUUCUUAUGGCUGGUCAAAUAAUCUAAGAGGCAGAGAGACUGAGUCCUCCAGGAGGUUAAAACUUACCCAAGGGCAUGCCGCUGUGAGUCGUAGAGCUGAGACUUGAACCCAGAACCACAGAUCCACUUUUUCCUGAUCACUGAUUCAAAACCACAACGGUGGUCUUUCGGCUGCCAUUCUGUGUGCUCCUACGAAGGUGAUAGACAUGUGGAGCAGAGGAGAGCUGCACAGUUGCAGUGUGGAGCAGAGCCACCCCAUGAGCCCAGCUUCUAUUAGCCAACCAGACAACUUGCAGAUGUAAGUGAGCCAGCCGAGAUCAGCAGAGCCACCCCAUAAAGCCCAGCUCCGUCAACUGAUCUCCAGCCAACCCACAGACAUUUGAG